rnacentral:lncRNA from 1 species
CAAAAAGCUGCAGUUGCCCAACCCGAAACUCCUACAUGACUAUGGGAGGGACUCGCAGGUAAGAAAAUAUGCAUUAGCAACGGAUUCAUUCUAUUUUGAGCCAUAAAGCAAAGCACGAUUGGUGCCUAAAUACUUCUGGUAAGAGCCAGUGGUCAUGCAAGCUCAUCCACAAGCGACUGGUAAGCUGCAGCACUGACCCUCAAAUACCACAAGUUGAAAAAAAA